UUGGCUCUUUUUCUCGGCAACUUCACUUUCCCGUCUUCAACUCUCUCUCUCUCUCUCUCAAAAAAAAAAAGGUAAAAGAACAAAGCCAUGCCUAACGAUUGCAGUAUCAGAGCUCUGUGGAUCCUCAACAGUUUCGACGCCGUCGUUUUCUCCAGGAGGUUUCCGGUGGUGGAGAAGCGGUGGCGAGCUGCUUUCCAGAGUGAAAAAGAGAGCUCCGUCGAUAGUCCUGUUAAGCACACUAUAUUUUCUUCGCUUCCCUCCGAUUCAGAGUUAGCUGCAGCUUUCUUUGAGAGAAAGGGAAGGGAGGGGUCUGUCCGUGGAUUUGGUAUACGCGUAACGCAGUCAGGAGAAGGAUCUGAUUCAUGGGUUGAUGAUCCAAUUACGCGUCAUAUUAUAGGCGUUUACAUAAACAAAGGGGAGGAAAGAGAGAAUAAUCUAUUGUGGCCCUUAGCAUUGCACAUAAAGGGUCCUUAUUGCAUCCUCAUACUGCCUUUAGUUGAGCCCAGGCAUGUAAAGGCUUAUGCAAAGUUGUGUCAAAGAUCUGAUUGUGGAAAUGCUGUCAUGACCGACGAACAUUUAUCUUCUCUGCUCCUUGAUCUUCCAUCCAUCACAGGGGCAUUCAUGGUGGCCCAUGCCAUUGGUGACAUAGUUACUGGGGAUGUAGUAGAACCUGAGGUGGUUGUAAGUGCAUCACCAUCAGUAGGUGGGUUGUUAGAUUCACUAACUGGAAGUAUUGGGAUAUCAGGUAUCUCUUCAAGGGCAAAACCAGUAGCUGCACCUGUUGCAUCUUCUACACCCUCUGGCGUUGCUGCGAUAGGAGCUCUUGCAUCUGAUGUUCCAAAAAUUGGUUCAAGGCUUUUGGAUAAAGAUGCACUUAGAAGUUUCAUAAGUAGCGCAAUGCCUUUUGGAACACCCAUGGACCUCAGCUAUUCCAAUAUUUUUUCUAUCAAGGUUAAUGGCUUUUCUUCAUUAGAUAUUCCUCCCCAGGACCUCAAGCAACCGGCAUGGAAGCCUUAUCUGUACAAAGGAAAGCAGAGACUGCUAUUCACCAUUCAUGAAACCCUUCAUGCUGCCAUGUAUGAUCGAGAUGAGAUUCCUGAUAGAUUAUCAGUCUCUGGGCAGAUAAACUGUCGAGCAGAAUUGGAAGGACUGCCUGAUGUGUCAUUCCCCUUGACAGGGUUGACCGCAGCCAAGAUUGAGGCUUUAUCAUUCCAUCCCUGUGCUCAGGUUCCAGAACAAAAUGUGGAUAAGCAGGCUCUGAUGUUCUCACCGCCUUUGGGUAAUUUUGUUUUGAUGCGUUAUCAGGCAGCAUGUGGCCUUGGACCUCCUGUAAAGGGAUUCUAUCAAUUGUCUAUGGUCUCUGAGGAUGAAGGUGCAUUUUUGUUCAAAUUGCGUCUAAUGGAAAGUUAUAAGUCCCCUUUGACAAUGGAGUUCUGUAAUGUGACUAUGCCUUUUCCUAGAAGAAGGAUUUUAUCUUUCGAUGGGACUCCAUCGAUUGGAACAGUUUCAAAUGCUGAGCAUUCUGUCGAAUGGAAAAUUAUAACAAGUGGUCGAGGACUUUCUGGGAAAAGUAUUGAGGCAACUUUCCCUGGAACAGUUAGGUUUGCACCAUGGCAGACACAAAGAUUAAGUUCCUUUAGGUCAGUCUUUGAAGGCACAGCGGAUGAUGAUAGUGAUAAUGAGACAGAGGGUACUAACAAUAUGGUAAAUGUAGAGGAGUUCUUGAUGGAGAAAAUGAGUAAGGAUCUUCCUCCAGUUGAUCUAGAGGAGCCAUUUAGCUGGCAGGCGUACAAUUAUGCGAAAGUAUCUUUCAAGAUCUUUGGGGUAUCAUUAUCUGGAAUGUCGAUUGAUCCCAAAUCAGUAAGCAUCUAUCCUGCAGUAAAAGCACCUGUGGAAUUAUCGACUCAGAUUACUUCCGGGGACUAUAUCUUGUGGAAUACGUUGGGGAAGUGCCCAUCUGCUGUAUCUGCAAAAGUGUAACGAAAAGCAUACAAUACAGCUCACCAACAGAGACGGACUUUUAAAACAGGGGCAGGCAAUGCAAGCGGCUACCCCAACUGAAAAUGCUACAACUUUUGUUUUGUUGUAUUAUUCUUCUAAAAAAUGCCUUGAUGAACGGUAAAGAUCGUACGGAGCCCAUAAAUGAUCAACCACGCAUGGCUUCCUGGAAUCUAGCCUAAGCCAAGGUUUGCCUUUCCC